AGAAAGAAGUUAAAUGUCUAUUGGCCAGGGGACUUUAGCCAGUAUUAACCACAAACAAUAACACAUCUACAUGCAGUGGGGGCUUUAACAUGUCACAUGACCUUGAUCUUGGUGUGUGUGUGUGUGUGUGUGUGUGUGUAAACGUGGCCGCAGCAUGUUAAAUAGAUGCAUUCUGACAGGAAAUCGAGGAAGACAUGCUGACUGUCAACACUUGACUUUUAACAUAACAAAAUAAGGUCAUAAUUAUCUGUUGAAGCCAUUCAUUGUGCUUAUAUCAGGAACAACUCCACUCCAUCACAAAUCUACUCUAAACAUAAGAGCAGCUAUCCAUUAGGUAUCCUUUUCUGUUCACUUGGGGGGGGGGGGGUGAGUAGUGGGUUGCACUUCACAGCUUAAGCGAAACCGAGCAACUGUUGACUCAGACAGAGUAGGCUAGAGAUGUAAGACAACGAAGAUAAACCAGUUUCCUGUCUCUCUGGUGGUUGGAGCUCACUUCCUGUGCCUCUUCUGCUUCACUCGUUUCACGUUUCUGUCAUCUGUGAGACUUUUGUUCUCACAGAAAUGGAUUUUGUGAUGACAAAAUCAAUGAAGUAAUCUUUCACUUAUGAAACUGGUUUAUCAGGAAUGUACGGAGAUAUUAUAAAUUAUUAUCCCACCGCAACUGCUGUGGAGGGACAGAACAUCAGCCUGCAGUGCAUUGUGGGAGAGGAGCAAAACUUCACAAUUAUCCAGCUGGAGUGGAUUAAACAGCGAAAGGACAAAGAGAUGACUGAUCAGAAGAUUGCUGUGUUCCAUCCUGGGUUCCCAAUAAAUUAUUUUCAAUCUGGUUUUCUUCUGGAGACAGUGACCAGUUCAAAAACUAGGAAGCUGCAGGGCUCAAUCCUGACUCUGCGUGAAGUUAGAGUGAAGGACAGUGGAAACUAUAUUUGUGAAAUCACUUCUUAUCCCACUGGAUCAAUUAAAAGAAUCACAAAGCUGCAAGUUACAGAGCCUCCAGCAUCAGUGAAGAUGUCAUAUCCAUAUGGAUUCAUAAAAGAGGGGGAUGUUAUGAAAAUAACUUGUUCAGCGAUCCCUCCACCACUCCGUUAUAAACUAAAACGUUCAAAGAACAAGAUAUUUUGGCUGGAAAGCUCAAACGGAGAGUUCACUUUACCACAUGUCACCAGAAAUGACAGCGAUAUGUACAUCUGUUUACCUGAAUGGGACUCAUUAGUCCCAAAUCUGCAAGGCCUCAAUGCCACCGUCGAAGUGACUGUCAAUUUUCUUGAUGGCAUUGAGUGUAACACAAGCAGCUCUUUAAACGUCAGCGCUGGUGAAGAUGUGGUCAUUUCUUGUAUCGCAAAAGCUUCACAGUACUUGCAGUAUAAGUGGAUGAGGGGUGACACAACACUGUCUCUCUCAGACACUUUGUCUCUGACCUCCAUGACAUCUGAGCAGUCAGGAACUUACAAACUGACAGCUGUCUUUCUGGACAAUCAACUCCAGACAGACAUUGAGAUUUCUAUCCAGGUUCUCCCAAAGCAAAAUGAAGAAUGGAUGUGUCUCCUCCAUUGAAACCUCCCCCACCACCAGUGAAAUACACGUCAUUGAAAAACCAUGAUGUCCCUAUGACUGAUAUUCUAGUGUGAAUGCAUCAUACUCUUGAGAAGCCACAAACUCUGGGCCACAAAUAUGCUGACGAGAAGAUUGUUCCCUAGAGGCCGCACCCAGAAAUGAAAAUUGUUUCAUCAAUAACUCAUCCUCAUGAAGUUUCUUUCAUCUUGUCUUUUUCAUUAAAUUAAAAAAAAUGCGUUCUAUACUAGACUAACUGAGACUUUUCAUGGCACUUGUAUACUGUUGUUGUUCUCUUGUUGACCUGACUGCUUCUAUUGUUCUCAUUUGUAAGUCGCUUUGGAUAAAAGCGUCUGCUAAAUGAUUAAAUGUAAAAUGUAAAUGUAAAUCUACAGAAACACAAAUAAAGAUAUUUUGAAUGAAACCUGAGAGAUUUCUGUCCUUCCAUUUAAAGUCCACACA
ensembl:lncRNA